rnacentral:lncRNA from 1 species
UCCCCCCAAAUCUGCCAACCACUAAUUUUUAAGUAACGCACUUCAGAUGUCAUUUGAUUUAUAUUUAUUUUGCUUUUUCAAUGACUUUUAUUGUUCGAGAACACCACCGUUAUAUGCCCAAAGGGAUUACAUAGGGCUAUAGUUCCUUGCUGUAGAUGAGAUUUCUCUGUAAGGAAUUGCAGGUAUUUAUCAAGAUUUUUAAUAGUUUUAUUGCAAAUGUUUUUAAUAGAUUUAUUUCAAAUACAUGUUAUAUUAAGAAUACUGUUCGUCAGAAUCUCUUCAGACAUGGCGAUCUGUGCAGCUGUCAAAGGAGAAACAAGGAACACAGUUGUCAAAAGAGAAACAACCAACAUCCACCUCUAAGAUGCACAAACAAUGGAUUAACGGGUUUUAUUAUGAUGAUGAAAAAAAAUCUCAUCCAAGCUCUAAACAGGUACAUAUAGAACAACUUAUAUCGAUUUCCCUUUGAUUGUUUGGUAUUAAAUGUAUGAGUUUGUUCUCAUGUGUUAGGUUGUUUCUUUGGAAACUUCCCUUUAUACCCCCUAAUUUGCUUCAACAACUGAUACAAUAAGUGAAGGGUCAGUUCUUUCUAUUUGAUAUUCCCUACAUUUAAAGCUAAUAGUUGUUCAAAGAUCAAAGAAUGAGGUUCACUUCUGGGUUAAAGAAACUGGAUAGACUUUUAGUCAAAAGUCAAAAUUGGAGUUUGAUUCUAUUUUAUGGCUCUUUCGGAUAGAUUGUAAUUGUAUUUGUCAAAACCAGGUACAUUUUAAGAAGUUAUUUAUCAAGUGAAUUGGUAUAAAGAUUUAAAGUGUUCGAUUAUAGUGGAUUGGAUCUUUAUACUUAUGUGCCAGAGUUGAUAUCAUUUGAAUUGUUGGACACAAAGAUGGAAUGGAAUCAUUUUUCUUUUUUCUUUUUCAUUUUUUUUUGUUCGGCUUUCAACAAGGAUUUGCCAUUUUUUUUGUUUUUGGUGUAAAAAAUCCAUUUCUACCGACCGGUGCCAAGAACCCAUACAUCAAGGAUUUUCAUUCUAUUUCAUUUUUCUUUUUUCCUUUUUCGUAAGAAAACAAUCCCAGGUAAAAAAACAAUCGUUCUGUUGUACUUCAAGUUCGGGAGGGUUUAGUAUUUUCGAUGAUUUCUGCAUCUAAGUAACAAUCAAUUUCAGGUUCCAUUUUUUUAUCCGAUCCAAUUCUAAAGUUUUUAUUUCAUACUAGACCUAUCGAUCCCAAUCUUUAAUUUAUUUCAUCUGUGUUUUUAGGUUACGCCUGGAAUUGAGUAAUUUUUUGGUUCGUCAAUUUAAACAGGACAUUGAGAUACCCUAUUGUACGGUCACUUAGGAUUUUGUGUAGGUAUGUUGGAAUGUGAUUUAAGUUUGUGUAAUUUUACGAGGUUGCAGUCAACUUAGUGUCCAAUGGGUUACUUUUUCCAUUAUAAUUGAUGAGUAUUGUCACAUUUUACCAAAUGAGUUGGCUAUUAGUUUAAGCUACAAAGGAGCAACAAAAUAAGAUAUGUAAUCUUUUAUUCUACACAGGACCUGUUAUGUAAGAAAAGAUGUUUACACCAUUUGAAGCUGAAUUGCAGGUCCAAGUUGGUUCUUAUUUCAAGGUUCUAGGGAACGAUUUUAUGCACAGGUGAUAUGUUGGAUGUUUUUAUCUUUUUUAUUUUAUUUUAUUUUAAAAACAGGUGAUAUGUUGGGUGUUGGGUAAAUAUGGAACUGCAGAUGGUAAAUGGUGGCGAGUAUAACAUGUUCACUAUUAAUGAACACCAUUUUGCUUUAUGAAACAUAUUAAUCUAAAUAUAACAUGUUCACUAUUUUUCUAUGAUAAGUGAUAGCUUGAACUCUCUUUGGUGGAUGUCAUCUCAGUUGAUCCAGAUGUACUGAAGGAUUAGGCUGCAUUUCAGGGCAUUAAGGUACUUUCAGAAGGGUUAAACUGUCAAUUUCACACAUAAUUACACAUUUGUUAUUCAACAUCACUUUUAAACAUAAGGGUAAAACGGUCAUUUACUCUAAACAGAAGGGUGAAAUGGUCAUUCCCUCACAUAAAUAGUAAUUUUUUAUUGAAUAGAUGGCUUUCUCCUAUCCGGUUCAACUUUUGACCAUUUUUCCCCUGGUGUUACUUUGGUGAAAUUCAACAUUUCUAAAUAUUACUUUGCAAAAUCUAUCAUAUUAUAGCAAUAUCAUCUAAUUACAAAGCAAAUUUCGUUUUAAAAUUAAGUAGCUUUUUUCAAAGUGGAAGUACACUGCUAUAAUUAGGUUGAUAUUUCAAAGUACAGUACUUUAAUAAGAAAAAAAAAAUAAGAGUAUAAUAUCAUAAUAGAAAUAAAAGAAAGUAGGAUGUUCUAACAAACAUAAUAACAAAAGUUGUGUUGCUAUACAUCCACUUACCAAUUCCGACAUCGUAUUUUUUGACUUAGAACGUUGUACUUUGAAAAUCUAGCAAUUAGAGUGUCCCAGUUUGACUUUAUGUACACACAUCUAAACCAAAAACACCACCCUCCAUCCCUUGCAAGCCUACUUAAUCAUUGGGUAAAUAAAAAAGCACCAUCAAAUAUUAAUUUAUUAAUGGGCGUUUUGUUUUUUCUUCCCUUAUGCAGAAUACAAGAUGAUGCCAUGCAAUUUGGCAACACAGCUGCAAAUGGUUUCCAUUUUGGAGGUGGUGUGAAGAAAGUCUCAUAGCUCUUCAAGAGACCGCAAAAGUAAUUUUAUUGACUUAUUAAAUUGUUUUCUAUGUAUUUACUCAAAUUAAUUUCAAUUUUUUUCAAUCAGCUAUUAGAUGAGUUGUCAAUCUAAACUGCAACAGUCUCAUAUGUAGAUUUUAAAGUGUAAUCCUAUAACAGAAGUGAUUAAAAGUUCAAUUGCUCUAGAAAAGGUUCACUUUAAUUAUUGAAAUAUUAUUUUAUAUGAAAACAAAAAGUAACUUUAACUCAUUUCGACGUGCUAAGAAAGAAAAAUGCACAAUAUGAAUCCCUUUCGUUGACCUGCCAACAAAAACAAGUUGUUGGGAACAUAAAAUCUAUAUACAUGGAGUUUAUAAAACAAUGUUGUAAGAUAGAAAUAGUUGGUAUGUUUGCAUUAAUUUUUUUUAAUGAUGAACUGUACUUAAAGCCAAGGCGGGAUAAAGAAGAAUAUAGUCCAUAAUGAUUUGAAUGGGGUUUUAGCCCAAAUUUGCAUGGUUAUUAUAUGAAUAAAGUGUUGGUAGAAAUAUCAAAUUCUUACACUUAAUUUGUUUUUGCAAG